rnacentral:siRNA from 1 species
ACCUUGCCUAUAAUGUUGAAGCCU